GACGAACGCUGGCGGCGUGCUUAACACAUGCCAGUCGAACGGAAAGGCCUCUUUCGGGGGGUACUCGAGUGGCGAACGGGUGAGUAACACGUGAGUAACCUGCCCUUGACUUUGGGAUAACUUCAGGAAACUGGGGCUAAUACCGGAUAGGAGCUCCUGCUGCAUGGUGGGGGUUGGAAAGUUUCGGCGGUUGGGGAUGGACUCGCGGCUUAUCAGCUUGUUGGUGGGGUAGUGGCUUACCAAGGCUUUGACGGGUAGCCGGCCUGAGAGGGUGACCGGCCACAUUGGGACUGAGAUACGGCCCAGACUCCUACGGGAGGCAGCAGUGGGGAAUAUUGCACAAUGGGUGGAAGCCUGAUGCAGCAACGCCGUGUGCGGGAUGACGGCCUUCGGGUUGUAAACCGCUUUCGCCCAUGACGAAGCUUUGUGUGACGGUAGUGGGUAAAGAAGCACCGGCUAACUACGUG
rnacentral:rRNA from 1 species